CUCCAGCCCUGGGAACACUACAACAAAAGCAGAAUACACUUUGAUCAAGAGCAAUGCAUCUUCUCGAGUGACACAGCAGGACAGAUGGCUAGCAACAUACAGCAGGUAAUGAUAUGUGAUUUAUGUGCUUUUGUCAACACAAUGGGCCUUAGUGGCUGAGUAAUGGGUUACACUGUCACUCAAUGUGACUGCUGCUUUAUGGAAACUAAAAUAUGUGUCAUUACACUCUUGCUGGAUACCAAGCAAGCAAAGGCAUUAUCCCCUGAGUGUGUGAGCCUAAAAGCCCUUGUGGCCCAUUUUAGCCGAAAACAAACCAAACAUGUAAAAAGCAAUGGGGUCACACAUUAUACCUCUUUGAAUUAUUUAGUGUUUUGGCCCAUAAAGUCAGCUGUUGAAUUUCUAAAUCAAACAUUUUUAACGUCUUAGUGUGCAAAUCGCCCCUGUGGCAUGCAAAUACUUUGAAUUCCCUCUGACUGGAAAAGACAGAUUGCUGGAGUACGUACAGAUUUGCAUCGCAGCGAGUGAAUUUGCUCAGUGCUAAAGCGCAGAACAAUGUAUAAUACAGUAUGUUUUCACGUAUAAGAGCACAAGGUUGAAGCCACAGAGGGUUCUUCAUUCCUCUGACCCCGUUCGAGCCGCAGGGCAAAUACAUCAGCCGUGUGCUCUGAAUAAACAACAUAAAGAAGACGAUAUUCAAUGGGUCUCUGUUUCUCAGAGAUAAGUGUGGCUUUAACACGGAGGAAUCAAAUAUGGAGAGAAGAGGGGAAAAAAAAAAAGAAAAACAAACAGGAGGAUUUUGAUUUUUUUUGGCCUGACCCAGAGAUUAUACAUGACUGUAGAGUGAUGUGCUUCACAGCGCGGGUGACACACGGCUAUUGGCAGGAUGUUGAUGUUGUUUGUGGACUGUCAUGCAAGAGAAACUGUUUGGCCUGAGGCGAGAUUCACAUCUGCAUGUCUUUGAUGCUGUGCUUCUGUUCAUUCACAUGUCGGGUCUGAGGUCAACUGUGUGAGGCAGUCGUGUCACAAUGUGUUAUCUUAAACUGGACAAUUAUCUCUUAAUGCAGUCUACAUGACACAGAGGAAUACACACUGAGCUCACUGACAAAAUUAGUCAUAAUCACAUAUUUCUUUUUCUUGAAAUAAUCUAGACGGACUCAGUUGAUUCAGUUUUUGUGAUCACCCUAAAAAAAGCCUCUCAUUGUAUCCGAAAACAAAAAGUAUAAACAAAUAUUGAAAUCCUGGCAACAGUUUUGCACGAUAGCUUUAUCCAAUAGUAAGUUUUGCUUGAUUAUGGGAUGAUCAAAUCUGAUACCAGUGCAUUGUUAUGGGUUUCUCUUCGAAUUAAAUGCUCUAUGGUUUAAUACUCCUACAUCCAGACACAAGCAGGUCAACGCUGGAUGAAUCUCAAAACCCUGGAUUAUGUUAAAUCAUGUUUUGUUUUGUUAACGCAGAGAGUUUGUCCUUUUUGAAUGCUCAGUUUCUACACCAUCUGCUUAUGAAAACUGCACCUCGGCUAAGGAGACGUCAAAGAAUUGGUUGAGAUUGGAGAGGAGUUGUAGUUUUACAUCAUUUUAAAAGUGACAUGACAUAAACUAAGGUUUUCUUGAUGAAAAUCAGAGAUUUUAUACACUGAUGGCAUUUUAGGUGGUAUAUCAUUUUGGCAAAUCCACGGCUGUCUGACUUUUGUCAAAUCUAAAACUCUCUAGUUAAUGUCAUAUCUUUUUCUCCCACUAUGUGCUUUCUGUCUGCUGCUUUUUAACCAACUGUCUGAUUGAGAUGAAUAAUCCCAAAUGUUGAACAAAAUGUUACAGAAUAGUCAAAAUUUACACCCUUUAAUCUUAAACCUACGGUACAUCCAUCUAAUUUUACAUCCAUAAUUAAAACAUUAUAAAAAAAAGUAAUUUCUGUCAUAGUUUCAUUCAAAAAAGAUAAACAUCUACACAUCCAAAUUAAGUGCAUGUAAACUCAAGUAUUUUAAGCCUUUUUGUGGUGCAAAACUUCUUUUAACAGGCAGAAACCUUGAGCAGAACCAGACUCGUGUUAGACAGUCAUCUGUCACUACAGCAUUUGGUUUAGAAAGGGGACAGAGGGAGAUGCAGAAACAGGCAGAUGGACAGAGGUGAGACUGAUGCACAUAGCUGAAGCAAAUGGAAAGCAGACAGAUCCACAGCAGCGAAACAUCUGCAGCUGCGAUCCAGAGGUGUCUACGGCAUGAUGGAGCUCAGGGACCCCCAGAAAAGACUCCACUGGGAUAAGAUGAUUCAAAGUUAAUGACACAGAUGGAAAGAGGAUGGAGAAGGAGAGAAAGGUGCUCAACGUGCCAGUACUCCUAAGAGUCUAAACUUACAGUAGCGUAACUGAGAGCUGGCCCAGGCCUGAACCAGCUCAAACUAUAAGUUUUAACAAUGAGGAAAGUUUUAAGAAUGUACUAUUAAAGGGAGAGAAGGUGUCUGUCCUGUGUGGACUGAAGUGAACUAAGAGAUACACAGCAUUAGUUCUGUGAGUAGAGACUGUAUGAAACAAAGGAUGAGUAGAUUUGCCAGCCCUGUGACCCAUCUGCUCACAUCUAUUGCACAGCUACUGGGUUUAACUUCCAUUUACCCUGUAUUGACCCCAGAGUAUUAACUGAAUUCCACAUGUACACGUUAAUUACCGUCUGAAUAUGCGCCAACACGUGCACCACACAUUAAAACACGAAGAUAACCGUACUCACAUUAAAGCGCAAACAGAUAUAAAUGCUUAUGUGCAUUUUAAUAUCUCCAGCAUGGCUUUUUUUGACCAGGCAAAUAUUGAUGAUUUGUCUGAAUUUAUUAUGUAAAAAUAAUAAUCUGAUGAUUGUCUAUGUCUAAUUGGCCACAGCUGGGUGUGUGCGUGUGUGUGUAUCUCUCUCUCUCUGCUAAUAGAGCGAGUGAGGCCUAGCUCAUUACUCUGGCACAGCGAGGCUGCUUUAUCUGGUAUCUGGCCCAUUUUAAAUGCUAGCCUAUUUUUAAAUGGGUUUCCUACACAACGCCUUGUUAGCAGCAAAGAGCGUAAUCUCUCACUCUCGGCGUCUCGACACUCUUUCUAACUACCCGAGCGUCUCUCUCAUGUAUUGUUUGGCUUUCUCUUUUUCUUGUUGCUGCUUCAGAUAAUUAAUGAAUGGGAGACAAUGUGUUGCUUCUUUCCCAGUGUAAAUAAGGAGUUAAAUGCAAAGAUGUGUUAAAAAAAGGUAAUACUGCUUUACACACUCGGUAUUCUUGAGAUUCGAGUAUUGUUGGUGUCAUGAAGUGUAAGAUGCUACUACAUAAUGUCAAAUUUAACACCUGAAUGAAAUAAUCAAAACACAGACAAGCUGCUAAAAUGACUUAACUUCAUGCAGAGUGGUUCCAAACUUAAUUUCUUCAGUUUUCUGGAGUGAAUCUUUGAAGAUUUUUACCUGAAAUGCUUCAAGUACUUUCACAUUGUCCAUCCUUCUUGCUUCUUGACUCUCCAUAUCCUUUCUCUUUUCAGUUUUCCAUGUGUUUUCCUUUACCCUUGGAGUCACACAGAAUGAUAAGCUCCCUCCUUCUUUCUUUCCUUUCCCUUUUCUUUGCACCCUCUCUGCUUCUCCCUCUCAUGUUGUGCAGGGGAAACUUGGCAGGCACCCAAUUUGCAAGAAAUGUGUUGUAAUUGUUUUUUCUUUUUUCUUUGUCAGCGGUCGAAAAAAAAUCAUCUUUGAAAAAUAACUUUGUUCCUAUGCGUCUGUUUAUCACCGCACCCUGAAUGUGUGUGAUGGAUCUGCAUAUACAGUAACUCUUCAUGCACAAGUUCCUGUGAUGGCUCUUUCAUUUGCAUUUUACUCUAUUGCUUUUUGAAAAAGCUUCAAAUUUGUGCCGAGUGUUCCUCUCUGUGUCUCAAGUGUUCCCAUACCUCACUGGAACAUCUCUACAUUUGCAUGUCUGACAAUUGGCUGCAGGAAUCUGCUGUGAAGGACAGUCUCUUUGUCUUUGGAGGGAACUCAUUAAGUGUGCAGGCGUUUGCCCCAUCCUCUUUAGUGCUUACUCCGUCAACACCAUUUGUGCAUUUCAUUUUUCACGCCUGCUCUUUCACUCCCCUCCCUCUGCAACACCCCCGCCUCACCCGUCAACCCCGGCACGCCUCUCGCUGUUUCCCCCCUCCGCCCACUUACCCUCUCGUUCCCACUCAGCUCGUCCUGGACCAAUGCAAAUCUAGAGCAUUCUGCUGAAAGGGCUGAUAUUUUUGAAGCCGAGCAACACAUGCAUUGGUGUUUCAAGCAGCCAUGACUGUGACGGACAUGUAUAUAAUGUUAUCAGACUCUGUCAGACAUGCCAGCUCUCUGCUGUUGUUCAUUUCAAAGCUAUUUAACGUGUCAGGCCUUUGUGCAGUGGGGACCAACAGUGGCUCUUCUCUGCACCAUGACUCUCAUUUUGCAGGUGUUGACAUACUACAGUGCAGGAAUAUGAAACAUGUUUAUAUUCAAAAUCAGGGUAUUUAGCUGAUGUGCUGAUCCUGAAUGACUCACAAGGAAGCAGCAGCAGCAGGGGGGGCUGUCAGUAUCAUGUGGUAGGUAGUGAACUUCAGGCUUUCAUGGCAGCUGCUAGGACUGAAUCUUUGACAUUUUUGAUCUAGGAUUUCUUACUAAGGCGCUGAGAAUGUAGCAUAGCAACAACAAGAGGCUAUGUCAAGUAUGCAUAUACACUAAGUGUAGUGAGACUUAAUGAUGAAGAAAUGUGCUGUUUUAUUGUUUAAGUCUACAAGUUCAUCUUUCUAAACCCGUGGGGGGAGAGAAAUCUGUCUUCAUCUGAUAAUGAGCUCCCUCAGACUCACCCUCUGUUCCCUGUCUUUGCUCCAGCUGAAAGAAUCUCUUGCUCUUUGAGUUUACAACCAACCGCUGCCUCAUGAGCCCUGUUCCCACAUCACACCAUCUUCCUUCCAUCCUCGGAGACAGCGUCUCACUUUGAAAGGGCUAACAUUUCAAUUGCACAAUGUUAAUGUCUCAACCUUUCGCUAUUCUUUUGCAGAUUUAAAUGGCAGUCAAAUGUGACAGUAUCACUCCAGUGCAAGGAAAUCACAAGAGAGCAAACUAAAAUAGGCUCCACUGUGGAUACGGCUUUAUUUUUCAUGAAAAUCACUAAGUGGCGGCUGCUUGGGAGUUUGACUUUGUCUUUUAUUAGUCACUUACAGAUCUGUAGCUAAGCUCUUAGAAGUAAAGGAGACAAAAGUCAGUAUCCCCUGUAGUUUUUACAGCCUUAUCAAGUCGCAGUCUUUGCUUAUUUGCUUAUUUUGACUUUUAAGUGUGUAUUCUGUGUUUUUUGUCUCUUCUGAUUGUAAAACUCACAAGAGAUCAGUGCCAAAGAACCAAUAAAAAGGCAGCCUGAAUUUUGGUCAGUUUCAUAAGCUGCUAAAAUCUUAUUCCAGAGUUGAGUAACUCAAAGCCUCAUGCCUUUUAGGGCAGUUCACGAGACAAAAUGUAGAAUUCCCAUCAACAGGGAUGGAUAUGUGUUUCGCUCAUGCAUACAAAAACAGGACAAAUAAAGAUGCAUCAUCUUGAUUAAAAUAAUAAUAAUAGCUGGGAGAUAACUUGCAUUGUUGCUUAUCAAAUGCUGAAAACAACAAGUAAAGACAUAAAUUACUAUGCACAAACCUGAUGAAAUAAAUGAAUUAAUGGUAUGAGGGGAAUAAUACAUAGAAUACCAAAUAAACAUCAAGUUUUGUCAUUGAAAAAAAUCAUUUUUCCAACUCAGACCUUCCAAAGUUCGGCAUACUCGCAGAAACACUAGCUAAUCCACCCCUGACACUGUAACUGUGUUCCCACUUCAGGUUUGAGGGCAGCACAGUGUGUUUUGCUGCGUUGGGAGAGGUCCAAAGCCGCUCUUCAAAAUUAAACUGUGGAAAAGCCCCACGGUCAACAUUGGCUUAGCAAGUGCCACUGGCAAAUAGGGUCGGAUGUGUAAAAGUCACCUUGACAGUUUCCACAACAGUGCUGUCAUUGGUAGAUGGCAGUGUCAUCCAAAUAGAUGGUGGGUGUUAAGCGCGUUAAAGGACAUCACACAUGGUCCAGAGGAUACAGUGCAAAUGUUGAAACAGGGCAUGCAAAACAGAGCCAACAUAGCAUUUCACCUGUUCCUGUAAGCAUCGUGCAUAAUAUUAUUUUUAUGCGCCAUGUGACUGUGCAAGCAUUAAAUGACGUGUUUUUGAGCUUUUUUAAUUUUCUUUUCAAGGGCAUUAUGCAUUCAGAAGUAGGUUACCUUCCCAAGAAUAAACUGAACGAUAUUAGUUUACACCCAAACCACUUAUAGCACCUCUCCUCCACCCGCCUUGAUACACACCGUUUCCCCUCACAAAAAGGGAUUAGUGGUUAACCUACACCACUACAAUGUAUUGCACAUGUUGAAUUGAAAGAUUUAGCAACUCUUGCUAAUGGGAUUUUUUUUUUUUUAAAUCUUAUUAUGCACUUCAUUCUUCCUUGUAAAAGUUCCCUGUCAUAUCAAGCGGGGUAGAACAGACAUUAAAAACAUGGGACAGCAUCUGUGAUGAAUGAUCCUACAGUCACAACCUGAAAUCUCACUGUUUACUAUUCCUCAGAGGCAGUUUUGCUACAUAAAUCAUAAUCUGCGUAUGAGCUGACAGAAUCAAAUGUUCUAAAAAAGCAAGAGAGACUGCAUGACUCUGCUGUGCCAAUGUAGCCGGAUAAUCUGACAACAUAUCUGAAUUACAGCGCUGUUAUGUUUUUGCAAGAUUCAUAUUUUUUCCCCCGCUGCAAUUCAAGUUUGACUGUGUCUGCAAAAACAGCUCAACCACAAUCACAAAAACAACUGACACAAAGUACAAACAUAACGGACUCUAAAAGUCUACAGCUAAAUUGUUUUGACAAAAGUGGUGAACCAUAGAUAUUAAAGCGGGUGACAAAUGUUUCCUUCAAUUUGCUGUUCGGUAUACGCAUUGUUGGGAAUGAGAAAUAAAGUGACCCUUACCUUCAGGUGUGGUUCAUUACAAGCCAGUCAAAGCCUCGUCUUUAACCUACAAAUGUUCCCCAUACUCACUCUGUAAUAGCAGCGAGUUCCCAGAGAGUCCUAUUGGACUUGUGUUUGGCAGGGGGGCUAUUGAUUUCAUUAAGAAGACGUGUGGAGCACAUUACAGAAUGAUGACUGCUUCAUGGGAGGUCAACAAGAAAUCAAUAUGAAAUUAUAUUACAGCGUCGACCGGCUGGGGUAAGGCCAGCUACCACGCACCACUGCCAAUACUCCAGUGGAAAACGAGGGAAGGAUUUUCCUGCAGGAAUUUCAUGUGGGGGUGAAAUAAAGUGUAGGUAAUAAAAGAACUGGGGAUUAACCGCAGCCUUGUCUAUCAGGAGAUGAACAGAGCUGAACUGGACUCUCAGACCAAAGAACUCUAUUCUUAUUAAGAGUCUUACUCUAAAUACUAUACACACUGGCUACAUUUUGAAAAAAAAAAGAGGAAAAAUGAUAGAAAUUGAAAAUAUUUUGACAAAAUCCUCUAAUAGUGUUCUGUAAAUAGACAUCAGUCCUUGAAAAUCAUCCAAAAAAGACAGCUUCAAAACAUUUUUAACAACACCAACCCUUUAAGAAUGACUGUUUUAAUGAAAAUAUUAAUGGAGUCAAAAAACAUAUUUACAUUUUUCAUGAAUUAACCUUACUAAUUUAACUUGUUUUGCUGCAUUUUGGUUCCGGGUUUUGCUGAACCAGAGAACAGACAUCAGUCUUACGAAAUCUGUCCUUGUGCCCUGAUAUGGUUAAGAUUAUUACUUCUGAACCAAGCAGCAACAUCUGGAUCCAGAAGUCCAGAAAGAGCAGAAAACUGCAGCUCCUUAAUCAGCAACUUGAGGCCGGUCUCAAAACUAAGUCUGUCCCAUAGAGGUCUUAAUCUGUCCCCAAAAUUCCCACUUCUUCAAAAGGCAGCCAAACAAUGGCCACCACCACACUGGACGAAGCUAACAAUGACUAACUUCAAUUAAUCUUGACACUGACAAAAAGAUGGAUCUUAGGUGAAUUCCAGCCUCUGGCAAUCAACAACAGUGGGCCAACUGUCAGUCAACUUACUGCGACCCUAAUCAUGCAAAUUUACGCGGAAACUCUGAGUCUCAAUAUAAUCAAUACAGUGUGUAUGACUGAAGAAAGACACCAUGCAUGUGACCAUAUCUGUUUUACUGAUGGAAAUCUUCAUAAACCCCUCAUAUAAUCUUAUGUCAUAUCCAUUUUCUAAAUAUCUAAUUGUUAGAAUAACUUAUUUUGAUUUUUGUGUGUGUUUUAGGUGUGACUCUGCUGGGAAGCAGGACUUUCUCAGCCCUAAAGGAAUGCCCACUGAUCACAAAUGGAGAGGAAACUCCUGACCUUGAUGGCCUGACCUAUACAUCUGUUUCACUGGACUAGACCAAACAAUAUGUCCUCUUUGGGUACAGCUGUUUCAUGUUAGAGAGUGUUCCUCCUCAGGUUUAAU